rnacentral:rRNA from 1 species
GACGAACGCUGGCGGCGUGCUUAACACAUGCAAGUCGAACGGAAAGGCCCUGCUUUUGUGGGGUGCUCGAGUGGCGAACGGGUGAGUAACACGUGAGUAACCUGCCCUUGACUUUGGGAUAACUUCAGGAAACUGGGGCUAAUACCGGAUAGGAGCUCCUGCUGCAUGGUGGGGGUUGGAAAGUUUCGGCGGUUGGGGAUGGACUCGCGGCUUAUCAGCUUGAUGGUGGGGUAGUGGCUUAUCAAGGCUUUGACGGGUAGCCGGCCUGAGAGGGUGACCGGCCACAUUGGGACUGAGAUACGGCCCAGACUCCUACGGGAGGCAGCAGUGGGGAAUAUUGCACAAUGGGCGGAAGCCUGAUGCAGCAACGCCGCGUGCGGGAUGACGGCCUUCGGGUUGUAAACCGCUUUCGCCUGUGACGAAGCGUGAGUGACGGUAAUGGGUAAAGAAGCACCGGCUAACUACGUGCCAGCAGCCGCGGUGAUACGUAGGGUGCGAGCGUUGUCCGGAUUUAUUGGGCGUAAAGGGCUCGUAGGUGGUUGAUCGCGUCGGAAGUGUAAUCUUGGGGCUUAACCCUGAGCGUGCUUUCGAUACGGGUUGACUUGAGGAAGGUAGGGGAGAAUGGAAUUCCUGGUGGAGCGGUGGAAUGCGCAGAUAUCAGGAGGAACACCAGUGGCGAAGGCGGUUCUCUGGGCCUUUCCUGACGCUGAGGAGCGAAAGCGUGGGGAGCGAACAGGCUUAGAUACCCUGGUAGUCCACGCUGUAAACGGUGGGUACUAGGUGUGGGGUCCAUUCCACGGGUUCCGUGCCGUAGCUAACGCUUUAAGUACCCCGCCUGGGGAGUACGGCCGCAAGGCUAAAACUCAAAGGAAUUGACGGGGCCCCGCACAAGCGGCGGAGCAUGCGGAUUAAUUCGAUGCAACGCGUAGAACCUUACCUGGGUUUGACAUGGAUCGGGAGUGCUCAGAGAUGGGUGUGCCUCUUUUGGGGUCGGUUCACAGGUGGUGCAUGGCUGUCGUCAGCUCGUGUCGUGAGAUGUUGGGUUAAGUCCCGCAACGAGCGCAACCCUUGUUCACUGUUGCCAGCACGUUAUGGUGGGGACUCAGUGGAGACCGCCGGGGUCAACUCGGAGGAAGGUGGGGAUGACGUCAAGUCAUCAUGCCCCUUAUGUCCAGGGCUUCACGCAUGCUACAAUGGCUGGUACAGAGAGUGGCGAGCCUGUGAGGGUGAGCGAAUCUCGGAAAGCCGGUCUCAGUUCGGAUUGGGGUCUGCAACUCGACCUCAUGAAGUCGGAGUCGCUAGUAAUCGCAGAUCAGCAACGCUGCGGUGAAUACGUUCCCGGG